CCUUUGGAGAGCAGGGUCCCCGGUUCCGGCCCCCGCCGCACCUACUGUUCCUCACCUCACGCUGCCUGAGCCUCUGCCUCCACCACAACCCAAGGCGCCACAGCCGCAAAAAUCCGAGCCAUUUUCCACUCAGUCGCCUCAGCCGCUGCCGAGAGCUUCGGCGGACACCGCGGCCAGCCAAGCAUAGACGUCACUUCCGGUCGGGAAAGCACCGCCUUCCGCACCCAGGCUUCUUUCGGAUUGGCUGGUGCGGAGGGCCUACCUGAGGUAGUGGGCGGGGCUUGGGUGAGUCGCGUGAGGCUCUAACUCCCGUAGCUGCGAAUGAGUCGGGCUCCUGGGGUAUAGUGCCCAGCAGGCUUGGGAUGUCUCUUUGUGCAGCCCCAGACCAGAGGAGAGGGACUCCGGGGACCCCAGUCGGCCACCUCUCAAACCCAGCGUCCAAAGCGCCCCCCAGCCACUGAACUACUUUACUGUUCCCGUGCCCUCUUCUUGGACUCUGCGCUCGUCUCCAUCCGGACGGCAGCUCCCAGAUUCGUGGUUUUGGCCCCAGGCCUGCGGACAUUAGCUUGUGAUUGGAGGAUUGAAAGGAACAGGGAAGAUAUAAAAUCGUUCACUCCAACCAGCGUCUACCGUUUCCUCACAGUGGAUCAGGUGCUGCGGGGUGUGUAAUUAGUAGUCCGCCCAUCACGUGGAGUGUUUAAAGUGCUUUCGCAUCAUAUUUAAUCCUCACAACAGCCAGAGUACAUCAUGAGAAACGCUGGACUGGAAGAAACACAAGCUGGAAUCAAGAUUGCUGGGAGAAAUAUCAAUAACCUCAGAUAUGCAGAU
ensembl:lncRNA